rfam:Nicotiana attenuata strain TT scaffold02762, whole genome shotgun sequence.
AAAAUAAGUGCCUCUUAGAAAGCCUCGGAUGAUGCCUACAAUACCAUUUUGUAGGAUCAUAAGCCUUUUAAUUUGAAGUUUAAAACCCUACAUAAAUUAAGGUUUUAGGCAAGUCAUCCUUGGCUAUCAAAGCAAGCUCUUUAUU